GGGAACCUGUAUUUUCCGUAUAAUGACUAGUCCUGUGUUUUUGUUCCAAAAUGAUGUGUGAGGUGAUGCCCACCAUCAGUGAAGAAGGCCCUUCAGGAGGAAGUGAAAACCAUGGAUCUGGCUGCCCUUCACAACCAGAUGCAGAUUCCCAUUUUGAACAGCACAUGAUGUCCAUGCUAGAAGAAACAGACAUUGCUCAGAGCACACUGAUAGAGACUCAAGAAACAUUGGCGUUGACCCAGGGGAAAUUACUCGAGGUUGGUCAUGAGAGAGAUUCGUUGCAGAGACAACUCAAUACUGCGCUUCCACAGGAGUUUUCAACGCUUGCAAAAGAGCUCAACAUUUGCAGGGAACAGCUGCUUGAGAAGGAAAAAGAAAUUGCUGAACUCAAAGCAGAAAGGAACAACAUGAGGCUGUUCCUGGAACAUCUGGAGUUCCUUGUCUCCAGGCAUGAACGCUCUCUCGAAACGACUGUGAUGAAGCGGCAGGCGCGGUGUCCUGCAGGAGUGUCCACAGAGAUGGAAGUGCUAAAAGCACUGACAUUCUUAUUUGACCACCACAAGACCCUGGACGAAGAAGUGCGAGAGCAAUUACGUGUAGCACUGCAAAGGUGCAGCUUGCUGGAAGAGGAACUGGGCGCUACGCACAAGGAGCUAAUGACUCUUAAAAAACAGAAUAAUGAGAAAAAAUCACCAAGAGAUGGAGUGCUUGACCAUGAACAAGAAGAAACACCAAGCACUAGUGGAAAGUUGCUAGCUUGCAGAGAAGAAGAACGAGAUGACAAGACAACGAUAAAAUGUGAAACUUCCCCUCUCUCCUCUCCGAAGUCCCUUCAGCUAGACAGGCUGCACACAGGGGCGUUGCAAAUAGUCAGCCACGAGGACAUCAGGGACAUGCAAAAAUCAAAAAGUGCCCAGGAUGGUCCUGUGAGCAAUCCCAGUAGCAGUGACAGCAGGCAGGACUCGCCCCACAAAGCCCCAAAGAAGAAGGGCAUCAAGUCCUCCAUUGGUCGUUUGUUUGGCAAAAAGGAAAAGGGUCGGCCUGGACAAACUGGCAAAGAAUCACCAGGACAAGAAACCUCAUCUCAGGAUGCGUUCCGACUUAGCAAAUUGGGAGGAAAGGCUGAAAAAAAUCGAAACUUUCAAAAAAACUCAACAGGCUCCCAGGAAGGUCCUGUGAACAAUCCCAGUACCAGUGACAGCAGGCAGGACGCGCUCCACAAAGCCCCAAAGAAGAAGAGCAUCAAGUCCUCCACUGGUCGUUUGUUUGGCAAAAAGAAAAAGGGUCCGCCUGGACAAACUGGCAAAGAAUCACCAAGACAAGGUGGGCCGGUUUUAGGCAGCUGUGCUAACCGCUGGGAUUUGGAGAGCAUGAGCUUUUUCCUAUGUACCUGCCACAGGUGUCCAGUGCCCACAAGGAAUCAUGGCUGAGCAUUCUCCAGACAGCCCAGUCUGCCCACAUGUGAACCAGAGCAGAGCAGUGGACAUUCAUUUGGCGUGAAUGAAUAACCCUCUUAUAUGCUAAUUUAUACGCUUGAACAUUUAUAUGUGUUUGCUCGGAAGCUUACCCUUCAGAAAUGAUUCAGCUCUCUACCUGCAGAAUCUUCUUCCUAUUUGUGAAACAUAUAACUUUGCCAUGUUAAUUUACUCUAAAUUUGGUGAAUUUUCUUCUUUUUUGUAGCUGUUGUUUCUGAAACAGAAAACUCAUCUCAGGAUGCCUUCCAACUUAGCAAAUUGGGAGGAAAGGAUGAAAAAAAUCAUCAACUUCAAAAACAGUAAGCUUUUUGUUAUUUCUCCAUCUCAUGAAACAGUUUUCUGAGUUAAC
ensembl:lincRNA